rnacentral:misc_RNA from 1 species
GACGAACCGUACGAACGUUAUUCGGAAUCACUGGGCUUAAAGGGUGCGUAGGCGGUGCGGAAAGUUGGGUGUGAAAUCCCUCGGCUCAACCGAGGAAUUGUGCCCAAAACUACCGUGCUCGAGGGAGACAGAGGUGAGUGGAACUUAGGGUGGAGCGGUGAAAUGCGUUGAUAUCCUAAGGAACACCGGUGGCGAAAGCGACUCACUGGGUCUCUUCUGACGCUGAGGCACGAAAGCUUGGGUAGCGAACGGG